rnacentral:rRNA from 1 species
AUGGCCGAGGCCUCCCGGUACCAGAUCCUGGUGCGGCUUCUCGACGGCCGCACCCACUGCCUCCGGUUCCCGACGCCCACCGUCUCCGGCGCGGCGCUCCUCGACGCCGUGUCCGCGCUCUCCCGCGUCCCCGCCGCCUCCCUCCGCCUCGUCACCGGCCGCCUCGACGUCUCGCCUUCCUCCGUCCUCGCGUCCUUCCCCGACGGGCAAUUCCCCUCCGCGUCCGCGCUCCUACGCCUCCGCGGCGGCAAGGGCGGGUUCGGCUCCCUCCUCCGUGGGGCCGCCUCCAAGGCCGGCCAGAAGAAGACCAGCAACUUCGACGCCUGCCGCGACAUAAACGGCCGCCGGCUCCGCCACGUCAACGCCGAGCGCCGCCUCGAGGAGUGGAGGGCCGAGGCCGCGGAUCGCCAGCUCGAGAAGCUUGCCGAGGACUUCCUCAAGAAGAAGGCCAAAGAGUCAGGCCGCGGCGGCGCCCGAGCUGCCGAGGUCGACAAGUACCUUGAGAAGUACCGCAAGGAUGCCGAGAGCUGCGUCAAUGCCGUGGAGGAGUCGGUCCGUGCCUCCCUUGGGAAGAGGAAGGCUGUCCCCAAGCCACGUGAUGCAAAGAAGCUUAAAAUUUGGAUGGGCAAGAAGAAAGUAGCAGAUGAUGAGAGUGACAGUGACAGUGACAGUGAUGUGGAUGAUAAUGAGGGUGCAGAUGCAAAACCCAUAGCUCUUGAUCAUGGGAAUUACUCAAAUGAAUCUGACAAAAGUGAGGAGGAGAAGGUUGAUCUGGCUUCAGUUUCUGGGUCACAUUCAGAAGGAGAGUCCUCAGGUGAGAAGUCCCAGAGCAGUGAUUCAGAGAAAAAUGGAAAUGCUCUUCAGGAAUCCAUGGAAGUAAAGAUUAGAUCAGGAUGUGAUUUUGAGUCGGGGGGUAGUUUGGAGUGUGAGGGGGGAAUGGCAGUUCAGCCUGCUCCUGAGAACACUUCUGCAAAUGGAACUUCUGAGAAUGGUAAGAGUGCUCUUUCAGAACAAGUUCUGAAAUCAGAUGCUCCUGAGAACACUUCUGAAAAUGGAACUUCUGAGAAUGGUAAGAGUGCUCUUUCAGAAGAAGUUCUGAAAUCAGAUGAUAAAACAGAUGUGGAUAACACCGGUUCAGCUACAUCAUCACUCCUUAAUGACCCUGUGGUGCCUCCAGUAGAAGAAUCUGCUGAUGUAAAUAACAAGCCACUUCUUUCAGAGGAGCCUGUGGACCUGGCAACAUUCAGUUCAGCAGCAGAAUUGGAGGCACUUGGCAUGGAGAAGCUAAAGCUGGAGCUCCAGACUCAUGGACUAAAAUGUGGUGGCACUUUAAAAGAGCGCGCGGCCAGACUGUUCCUUCUGAAAACAACCCCACUGGAUAAACUACCAAAGAAGCUGCUUGCGAAACCCAACUCUGGAGGGAAGUGA